rnacentral:rRNA from 1 species
CUUGUGCCAGCAGCCGCGGUAAUACAGAGGGUGCAAGCGUUAAUCGGAAUUACUGGGCGUAAAGCGCGCGUAGGUGGUUCGUUAAGUUGGAUGUGAAAUCCCCGGGCUCAACCUGGGAACUGCAUUCAAAACUGACGAGCUAGAGUAUGGUAGAGGGUGGUGGAAUUUCCUGUGUAGCGGUGAAAUGCGUAGAUAUAGGAAGGAACACCAGUGGCGAAGGCGACCACCUGGACUGAUACUGACACUGAGGUGCGAAAGCGUGGGGAGCAAACAGGAUUAGAUAC